AGCGAACGCUGGCGGCGUGCUUAACACAUGCAAGUCGAACGUGAAAUGUAGCAAUACAGAGUAAAGUGGCGUACGGGUGAGUAACACGUGGGUAACCUACCAAAGAGCCUGGAAUAACCGACCGAAAGGUUGGCUAAUACUGGAUAGUUCAAAUGAAAUAUAAUGUUUCGAUUGGGAAAGGGAGCGAGCAAUCGCCUUCACUUUUUGAUGAGCCCGCGUCUGAUUAGCUAGUUGGUAGGGUAAUGGCCUACCAAGGCGACGAUCAGUAGCUGGUCUGAGAGGAUGAUCAGCCACACUGGAACUGAAACACGGUCCAGACUCCUACGGGAGGCAGCAGUGGGGAAUCUUGCGCAAUGGACGAAAGCCUGACGCAGCCACGCCGCGUGAGUGAAGAAGGCCUUCGGGUUGUAAAGCUCUGUCGGAAGGGACAAAAACGUUUAAGGUUAAUAGCCUUAGAUCUUGAUGGUACCUUCAAAGGAAGCACCGGCUAACUUCGUGCCAGCCGCCGCUGUAA
rnacentral:rRNA from 1 species